rnacentral:rRNA from 1 species
AAUACUUAGUGGCAGACGGGUGAGUAACAUGUGGGUAUCUACCCUUUGGCCUGGAAUAACACGAGGAAACUUGUGCUAAUACCGGAUAAGUCUUUACGGAGAAAGCUUUAUGCACCAUUGGAUGAGCCCGCACUUGAUUAGUUUGUUGGUAGGGUAAUGGCCUACCAAGACUAUGAUCAAUAGCUGAUUUGAGAGGAUGAUCAGCCACAUUGGGACUGAGACACGGCCCAAACUCCUACGGGAGGCAGCAGUGGGGAAUCUUGCACAAUGGAGGAAACUCUGAUGCAGCGAUGCCGCGUGAGUGAAGAAGGCCUUUGGGUUGUAAAGCUCUUUCGUCGGGGAAGAAAAUGACUGUACCCGAAUAAGAAGGUCCGGCUAACUUCGUGCCAGCAGCCGCGGUAAUACGAAGGGACCUAGCGUAGUUCGGAAUUACUGGGCUUAAAGAGUUCGUAGGUGGUUGAAAAAGUUGGUGGUGAAAUCCCAGAGCUUAACUCUGGAACUGCCAUCAAAACUUUUCAGCUAGAGUAUGAUAGAGGAAAGCAGAAUUUCUAGUGUAGAGGUGAAAUUCGUAGAUAUUAGAAAGAAUACCAAUUGCG